UACGAAGGGCGCUAGCGUUGUUCGGAAUCACUGGGCGUAAAGCACGCGCGGGCGGCUUGCCAAGUCAGGAGUGACAGCCUGGGGCUCAACCCCAGAACUGCUUCUGAGACUGACAGGCUAGAGUCUGGGAGAGGAAUGCGGAAUACCGAGUGUAGAGGUGAAAUUCGUAGAUAUUCGGUGGAACACCAAUGGCGAAGGCAGCAUUCUGGAACAUGACUGACGCUGAGGCGUGAAGGCGCGGGGAGCAAACAGG
rnacentral:rRNA from 1 species